UAACAAGGAUAUAGUAAGUGCACUAGGC
rnacentral:piRNA from 1 species